GCAGGGUCUGCAGCUGCGCAGAGAAUGAAAUGGAGGGUCCAACACAGACAAGGCCAACCACUUCACCGGAUGAAAGCCUUUUCAGAGGCAGAAUAUGACAGAAUUGAAUUACUACAGAGGAAGAUAUGAAGAGCUACAGCUAGCAAGUAUGGGCCAUUCUGUCAGGUAUUUCUGCAGAAGCCACACAUAAGUUCACCUAACAGAUUUACUACAACAUUUAGUAAGAAUGGUAAAGUAUGCCAUCUUUAUUUCAAUUUUCUUCUUUUGGAUUGUACUUUUUUGUGCAUGUUCAUGUGUGUGUAUGUGUGUUUUCAUUGUAUGUGCAACACAUGUGCAAAUGCAUGUGCAACAUGUGUUUAUACAUUUAUGACCAUUGGAAACCAUAGAUGAAUUGAUCAUGUUGUUUUUCAAGAGACAGCUUCCAUGUUUUUCUUUAAAAUUCAAUUGUUUUGUACAUAUAGUUAUUUUGUCUAUAUUUUUUUUCUGUGCAACACCUCUAUUCCUGGUACCUGCUAUGGCCAGAAGAUGACAUUGGAUCGCUGAGAAGUGGAGUCAUUUUUGGUUGUGAGUUACUAUGUGAAUGCUGGCAAUAGAAUCCAAGUCCUUUAGAAGAGCAGCAGUUAACUUAAACCAUAUCACUAGAUAGAGUCACCUUGGCUUUGUUGUUAUUGUUGUGUUUUUUUUUUUUUCUUGUUGUUUAAAACAGAGAUUCUCUCACAGGAACUCGAUAUUCACAGAUUUUGCAGACUAAAUUGGCAAUGGAGCUCCAGUGACAUGGCUGUCUUGACUUUCCAAUGGUAACUGGCUCUGAAGAACAGGCUGACUUCAAACUCCUUGAUCUGCCUGCUUGUCUCCCAAGUGCUAGGACUGAAGAUGUGUAACACCAUCGGCCCAUGGUUGUGAUGAAACAAUAAGAAUCUGAUUAAGAAUGGAUUACUUGGAUAAGAUUUGGGAGGUGGCACUGUCUAUGUGCUGAGUUUUACACUCUAAAUGGUACUGCCACCACUGAAGUGUACUAAGUCAGCUGGGCUAAACUUUCAAGGCUU